rnacentral:rRNA from 1 species
AUUGAACGCUGGCGGCAUGCCUUACACAUGCAAGUCGAACGGCAGCGGACCUUCGGGUGCCGGCGAGUGGCGAACGGGUGAGUAAUAUAUCGGAACGUACCUUUCAGUGGGGGAUAACGUAGCGAAAGUUACGCUAAUACCGCAUAUUCUGUGAGCAGGAAAGCAGGGGAUCGCAAGACCUUGCGCUGAUUGAGCGGCCGAUAUCAGAUUAGCUAGUUGGUGAGGUAAAGGCUCACCAAGGCGACGAUCUGUAGCGGGUCUGAGAGGAUGAUCCGCCGACACUGGAACUGAGGACACGGUCCAGACUCCUACGGGAGGCAGCAGUGGGGAAUUUUGGACAAUGGGCGCAAGCCUGAUCCAGCCAUGCCGCGUGAGUGAAGAAGGCC